rnacentral:rRNA from 1 species
GACGAACGCUGGCGGCAGGCCUAACACAUGCAAGUCGAGCGAGCGGCGGACGGGUGAGUAAUGUAUGGGGACUGCCCGCUAGAGGGGGAUAACUACUGGAAACGGUAGCUAAUACCGCAUACUAUCGGAUAACCCAUAUGGGAUUAGCUAGUAGGUGGGGUAAUGGCUAACCUAGGCGACGAGCCCUAGCUGGUCUGAGAGGAUGAUCAGCCACUCUAGGACUGAGACACGGCCCAGAGUCCUACGGAGGCAGCAGUGGGGGAGAUUGCACAAUGGGCGAAAGCCUGAUGCAGCGACGCCGCGUGGGGGAUGAAGGCUUUCGGGUUGUAAACCUCUUACGCUAUCGAACGGGUAGUUGGAGAAGAAGCGCCGGCUAACUACGUGCCAGCAGCCGCGGUAAUUC